ensembl:rRNA 5S_rRNA 5S ribosomal RNA
GCUUACGACCACACCGGCCUGAGUACGCCUGAUCUCGUCUGAUCUCGGAAGCUAAGCAGGGUCGGGCCUGGUUAGUACUUGGAUGGGAGACUUCCUGGGAUACCAGGUGCUGUAAGCU